GUGCUUGCUUCAGCAGCACAUAGACUAAAAUUGGAAUGAUACAGAGAUUAGCACGGCCCCUGUGCAAGGAUGACACACAAAUGAAAUUCAAGCUUUAAAACUAA
ensembl:snRNA U6 U6 spliceosomal RNA